rnacentral:rRNA from 1 species
GAUUGAACGCUGGCGGCGUGCCUAAUACAUGCAAGUCGAGCGAACAGACGAGGAGCUUGCUCCUCUGACGUUAGCGGCGGACGGGUGAGUAACACGUGGAUAACCUACCUAUAAGACUGGGAUAACUUCGGGAAACCGGAGCUAAUACCGGAUAAUAUAUUGAACCGCAUGGUUCAAUAGUGAAAGACGGUUUUGCUGUCACUUAUAGAUGGAUCCGCGCCGCAUUAGCUAGUUGGUAAGGUAACGGCUUACCAAGGCAACGAUGCGUAGCCGACCUGAGAGGGUGAUCGGCCACACUGGAACUGAGACACGGUCCAGACUCCUACGGGAGGCAGCAGUAGGGAAUCUUCCGCAAUGGGCGAAAGCCUGACGGAGCAACGCCGCGUGAGUGAUGAAGGUCUUCGGAUCGUAAAACUCUGUUAUUAGGGAAGAACAAAUGUGUAAGUAACUAUGCACGUCUUGACGGUACCUAAUCAGAAAGCCACGGCUAACUACGUGCCAGCAGCCGCGGUAAUACGUAGGUGGCAAGCGUUAUCCGGAAUUAUUGGGCGUAAAGCGCGCGUAGGCGGUUUUUUAAGUCUGAUGUGAAAGCCCACGGCUCAACCGUGGAGGGUCAUUGGAAACUGGAAAACUUGAGUGCAGAAGAGGAAAGUGGAAUUCCAUGUGUAGCGGUGAAAUGCGCAGAGAUAUGGAGGAACACCAGUGGCGAAGGCGACUUUCUGGUCUGUAACUGACGCUGAUGUGCGAAAGCGUGGGGAUCAAACAGGAUUAGAUACCCUGGUAGUCCACGCCGUAAACGAUGAGUGCUAAGUGUUAGGGGGUUUCCGCCCCUUAGUGCUGCAGCUAACGCAUUAAGCACUCCGCCUGGGGAG